GUUAAAACACCGGUCCCCAUAGAAUCACUGAAGUUAAGCAACGUUGAGCCUGGUCAGUACCUAGAUGAGUGGCUAUUUGGGGAUACCAGGUGCUGUAAG